AGUAAUACAUAAGUAACCUGCCCUAGACAGGGGGAUGACUAUUGGAAACGAUAGCUAAGACCGCAUAGGUACGGACACUGCAUGGUGACCGUAUUAAAAGUGCCUCAAAGCACUGGUAGAGGAUGGACUUAUGGCGCAUUAGCUGGUUGGCGGGGUAACGGCCCACCAAGGCGACGAUGCGUAGCCGACCUGAGAGGGUGACCGGCCACACUGGGACUGAGACACGGCCCAGACUCCUACGGGAGGCAGCAUG
rnacentral:rRNA from 1 species